UGCCAGCCGCCGCGGUAACACGAACCGGACAAACGUUAUUCGGAAUUAUUUGGCUUAAAGGGUGCGUAGGCGGCUCGGUAGGUGGGGUGUGAAAGCCCUCGGCUCAACCGAGGAAUUGCGCCCCAAACCACUAAGCUCGAGGGAGACAGAGGUAAGCGGAACUGAUGGUGGAGCGGUGAAAUGCGUUGAUAUCAUCAGGAACACCAGCGGCGAAAGCGGCUUACUGGGUCUCUUCUGACGCUGAGGCACGAAAGCUAGGGUAGCGAACGGGAUUAGAUA
rnacentral:rRNA from 1 species